AAAUCCGGUACUCAUUAAGGCUGAGCUGUGAUGGGGAGAAGACAUUGUGUCUUCGAGUCGUUGAUUUCACACUGCCGAGAAAAGCCUCUAGAUAGAAAAUAGGUGCCCGUACCGCAAACCGACACAGGUAGUCAAGAUGAGAAUUCUAAGGUGAGCGAGCGAACUCUCGUUAAGGAACUCGGCAAAAUGACCCCGUAACUUCGGGAGAAGGGGUGCUCUUUAGGGUUAACGCCCAGAAGAGCCGCAGUGAAUAGGCCCAAGCGACUGUUUAUCAAAAACACAGGUCUCUGCUAAACCGUAAGGUGAUGUAUAGGGGCUGACGCCUGCCCGGUGCUGGAAGGUUAAGAGGAGUGGUUAGCUUCUGCGAAGCUACGAAUCGAAGCCCCAGUAAACGGCGGCCGUAACUAUAACGGUCCUAAGGUAGCGAAAUUCCUUGUCGGGUAAGUUCCGACCCGCACGAAAGGCGUAACGAUUUGGGCACUGUCUCAACGAGAGACUCGGUGAAAUCAUAGUACCUGUGAAGAUGCAGGUUACCCGCGACAGGACGGAAAGACCCCGUGGAGCUUUACUGUAGCCUGAUAUUGAAAUUCGGCACAGCUUGUACAGGAUAGGUAGGAGCCUUUGAAACGUGAGCGCUAGCUUACGUGGAGGCGCUGGUGGGAUACUACCCUAGCUGUGUUGGCUUUCUAACCCGCACCACUUAUCGUGGUGGGAGACAGUGUCAGGCGGGCAGUUUGACUGGGGCGGUCGCCUCCUAAAAGGUAACGGAGGCGCUCAAAGGUUCCCUCAGAAUGGUUGGAAAUCAUUCAUAGAGUGUAAAGGCAUAAGGGAGCUUGACUGCGAGACCUACAAGUCGAGCAGGGUCGAAAGACGGACUUAGUGAUCCGGUGGUUCCGCAUGGAAGGGCCAUCGCUCAACGGAUAAAAGCUACCCCGGGGAUAACAGGCUUAUCUCCCCCAAGAGUUCACAUCGACGGGGAGGUUUGGCACCUCGAUGUCGGCUCAUCGCAUCCUGGGGCUGUAGUCGGUCCCAAGGGUUGGGCUGUUCGCCCAUUAAAGCGGUACGCGAGCUGGGUUCAGAACGUCGUGAGACAGUUCGGUCCCUAUCCGUCGUGGGCGUAGGAAAUUUGAGAGGAGCUGUCCUUAGUACGAGAGGACCGGGAUGGACAUACCUCUGGUGUACCAGUUGUCGUGCCAACGGCAUAGCUGGGUAGCUAUGUGUGGACGGGAUAAGUGCUGAAAGCAUCUAAGCAUGAAGCCCCCCUCAAGAUGAGAUUUCCCAACUUCGGUUAUAAGAUCCCUCAAAGAUGAUGAGGUUAAUAGGUUCGAGGUGGAAGCAUGGUGACAUGUGGAGCUGACGAAUACUAAUCGAUCGAAGACUUAAUCAA
rnacentral:rRNA from 1 species